ACGGAGGAUCCAAGCGUUAUCCGGAUUUAUUGGGUUUAAAGGGUGCGUAGGCGGCCUAUUAAGUCAGGGGUGAAAGACGGUAGCUCAACUAUCGCAGUGCCCUUGAUACUGAUGGGCUUGAAUGAACUAGAGGUAGGCGGAAUGUGACAAGUAGCGGUGAAAUGCAUAGAUAUGUCACAGAACACCGAUUGCGAAGGCAGCUUACUAUGGUUUUAUUGACGCUGAGGCACGAAAGCGUGGGGAUCAAACAG
rnacentral:rRNA from 1 species